rnacentral:rRNA from 1 species
CAUAGCGACUAUCGUGGCAUAUCAAUAAGCGGAGGAAAAGAAACUAACAAGGAUUCCCUUAGUAACGGCGAGUGAAGCGGGAAGAGCUCAAAUUUGAAAUCUUCAAGGUUCUACCUUGACGAAUUGUAGUUUAUAGAAGUGUUUUCUGUUAGUGGAGUGGCAAAAGUUCUUUGGAAUAGGACAUCAUAGAGGGUGAGAAUCCCGUAUUUGGUCAUUCCUCCUAGCGUUGUGAUACACUUUCAACGAGUCGGAUUGUUUGGGAAUGCAGUCCAAAAUGGGUGGUAAAUUUCAUCUAAAGCUAAAUAUUGGCGAGAGACCGAUAGCGAACAAGUACCGUGAGGGAAAGAUGAAAAGAACUUUGAAAAGAGAGUUAAACAGUACGUGAAAUUGUCAAAAGGGAAGCGUUUGACACCAGUGUUGUUUUUCCGAAAAUCAAUUACGAAUGUUUUGUUUUUGAGGAGUUAUGACUUCAUCGGCUUGCUCCUUUCUUUACGAAACUUUCUUAAUGCACUUUUCGGUUAACAAGUCAACAUCAAUUUCUUUUGUUGUAAAAGGGUAUGAGGAAGGUGGCUUUCUUUUCGGAGAAAGUGUUUAUAGCCUUGUGCCUCUGCAAUCGGAGAGAUUGAGGUCUGCAGCGUAGAUCCUUCGGGGUUAGAUACGUUUGUGCUAAGUUAUAGCUUUUCAUAGACAACUUGUUGACUAUGUUUAGUCUUGUAGCUUACUCGCUUACGCUAUUUUACCUACGCUUAGGAUGUUGAUAGUCACAGCGUGUAC